rnacentral:rRNA from 1 species
GACGAAGGAUGCAAGCGUUAUCCGGAUUCAUUGGGUUUAAAGGGUGCGUAGGCGGACUGAUAAGUCAGUGGUGAAAUCUCUUUGCUUAAACAAAGAAACUGCCAUUGAUACUGUCGGUCUAGAGUAUAGAUGACGUUGGCGGAAUAUGACAUGUAGUGGUGAAAUACUUAGAUAUGUCAUAGAACACCGAUUGCGAAGGCAGCUAACGAAACUAUAACUGACGCUGAGGCACGAAAGUGCGGGGAUC